UAUUUUAAUUCUAAUUAUAAGGAAUUCCUAAGCACUAAACUAUUACUUGUAUAAGACAAAAUAAAUAUGGAACGGUAAUUUAAAAAAAGGAAUGAAAAAGCAGGAAGAAAGAGGCAAAGCGGCGUCGUUUCAAGGCACAGCAUGGUGCUGUGUUUCCUCCCCACUGCAGAGGAUCCAGUCCCCCCAAUUUCUCUUCAAUCUCAGAAACCCUAAUCUCCCAACUCGAAGAAUCAGCGCCGCCCCCUCCUCUUCACGCCGAUCUGCCUCCGUCGCGGGGUCAACCACCGGCGUUCUAUCGUCACCGUCGCGCUCUCCCCCGUCUCUGAACACGUUUAAAAACCGAGCUCUCUGCUCAAUACCCGAUUCUCCUUCCCUCUCCUUGUUAUCCACUGAAUGAGAAAUGUUGAAGCAUGGGGGAGUGGAACCGAGGGGAAUAGCGGGUAUAUAUGCUUGGUUUGUAACUGAAAGCUCUGUAAAGUUGUAACUGAAAGCCUAUUAAGGCUUAUGUACUUGGCUGAGAAAAGGGGUUCAUGGCUGUGCAGCUGGCUGCCUUACUCUGCAGCUCUGCAGAGCAUGUACUCUGAGUCCCUUGACUCCUUUUGUGACUGUUUCUGGUGUUUCAUGGUAGUUGCUGUAUUCUGCCGAAAUUCGCAGGGUGUACUCGUGCAUUUAUUGGCAUUGUAGCCUCUUUUACUAUCCGUUUGCAAGGGUGGUUCAGCUCCCCUUUGUACUGUGUACUUACUGAAUUUGUGUCCCAUUUUGCAAGUGCUAACUGGGGUGCGGGUGGUUGGGAUUGAAGUGGAGUUGUUACGGUUUUAGCUGUGGUUUGCUGCACUCGGCAGCCCGUGGUGUCCAGCCACUCGCAACCUGCCAUCCUUACCCCUUUUGGAAGGUUUUCGGUCUCCAACGCUAAGCUAUUACUGCAGGGGAAAGAGCUGCCUACGCACGGCUUAUAGCUCCAAACAUCUCAGCCCUUCGGCCCCUCUGAGUCUGACUGAGACGGCUUGUGAAGGAGACCGACGAAGCCUCCUCAGGACUCCCGAUUGUAAUAGAGUAGUGCGACUACCAUUUCUCUUCUUUUCUUAUCUCAACAUGUAUGUAAAGCCUAUUAUGAUUAAUGUAUUUCCCUUUUUCCUUCAUGUCCAUCAUUGAACAUUUGUAGCUUUACUUAGCUUAAAAUACUAAGUGUUGUGUUUUGUACACUGACAUAGUUGGUAUGAAAUCUUCCAACUUUUGUAAUUUAAUAGCUUUGAAAUUCUGGCAUUUGUAUUUAUAUUCUUAUUCAA